CUUCUUUACCGAAGACUGCAGCAUAAAUAUAUAGCUAUUAAGGCGAUGAAGAAAAAAUUGCGUUAAAUUUAAAAAUCUGAUAAAUAAAAUUUAAUAAAAUUUAUUUUGUUAAUUUUUUAUUUUAAGAUGAUAAAACGUAAGAUAGCAGAGCCUUUU
rnacentral:ncRNA from 3 species